rnacentral:rRNA from 1 species
UAACAAAGAGAAGCGAAGCAGUGAUGUGGAGCGAAACUCAAAAAAAUAAGUCUCAGUUCGGAUUGAAGGCUGAAAUUCGCCUUCAUGAAGCCGGAAUUGCUAGUAAUGGCAGGUCAGCAUACUGCCGUGAAUGCGUUCCCGGGUCUUGUACACACCGCCCGUCACACCAUGGAAGUUGGGGGUGCCCAAAGCCGGCAGGGAAAUAUGCUGUCUAAGGCAAAACCAAUGACUGGGGUGAAGUCGUAACAAGGUAGC